UACAGAGGUCUCAAGCGUUGUUCGGAUUCAUUGGGCGUAAAGGGUGCGUAGGUGGCGCUGUAAGUCGGUUGUGAAAUUUCGGAGCUUAACUCCGAAACUGCAUUCGAUACUGCGGUGCUUGAGGACUGGAGAGGAGACUGGAAUUCAUGGUGUAGCAGUGAAAUGCGUAGAGAUCAUGAGGAAGACCAGUGGCGAAGGCGGGUCUCUGGACAGUUCCUGACACUGAGGCACGAAGGCCAGGGGAGCAAACGGG
rnacentral:rRNA from 1 species